UGGAGCACCCAUGGGUGCCCCCCGACCCCACCUAUUAAACAGGAGCACCCAUGGGUGCCCCUCAAUGCCCAUUCAUUCCACUGGAGCACCCAUGGGUGCCCCCCGACCCCACCUAUGACACAGGAGCACCCAUGGGUGUCCAAUACCUCAUUCAUUCCAUAGAAGCACCCACGGGUGCCCCCAAAUCCCAUUCAUUCCAUUGGAGCACCCAUGGGUGCCCCCAGACUCCAUUUACUCCACAGGAGCACCCAUGGGUGCCCCUCAAAGCCCAUUCAUUCCACAGAGCACCCAUGGGUGCCCCUCAAAGCCCAUUCAUUCCAUGGAGCACCCAUGGGUGCCCCUCAAUGCCCAUUCAUUCCAUCGAGCACCCAUGGGUGCCCC
rnacentral:lncRNA from 1 species